GCCAGAGCCAUAUCUUGUUGGAGUUCUCGCCGGGUUUCCCACUGAAGAUAAGCAGGACUGAGUCUGGUCAGUACCUGGAUAGGAGACCUCUUGUGGAAAGCUAAGCUGCUGGAA
rnacentral:rRNA from 1 species